UUGAUCAGUGUUGGAGAGAAUGACAAAGUUUGGAUGUCAUCGCCGAAGGUGCAAGUUUAACGAAACUCUCAGGCAAAAGGAUAACACUGUGACG
rfam:Staphylococcus saprophyticus strain CNV2 Spades_3, whole genome shotgun sequence.